rnacentral:rRNA from 1 species
UGCUGGAGGUAUCAGAAGUGCGAAUGCUGACAUAAGUAACGAUAAAGCGGGUGAAAAGCCCGCUCGCCGGAAGACCAAGGGUUCCUGUCCAACGUUAAUCGGGGCAGGGUGAGUCGACCCCUAAGGCGAGGCCGAAAGGCGUAGUCGAUGGGAAACAGGUUAAUAUUCCUGUACUUGGUGUUACUGCGAAGGGGGGACGGAGAAGGCUAUGUUGGCCGGGCGACGGUUGUCCCGGUUUAAGCGUGUAGGCUGGUUUUCCAGGCAAAUCCGGAAAAUCAAGGCUGAGGCGUGAUGACGAGGCACUACGGUGCUGAAGCAACAAAUGCCCUGCUUCCAGGAAAAGCCUCUAAGCAUCAGGUAACAUUAAAUCGUACCCCAAACCGACACAGGUGGUCAGGUAGAGAAUACCAAGGCGCUUGAGAGAACUCGGGUGAAGGAACUAGGCAAAAUGGUGCCGUAACUUCGGGAGAAGGCACGCUGAUAUGUAGGUGAAGUCCCUCGCGGAUGGAGCUGAAAUCAGUCGAAGAUACCAGCUGGCUGCAACUGUUUAUUAAAAACACAGCACUGUGCAAACACGAAAGUGGACGUAUACGGUGUGACGCCUGCCCGGUGCCGGAAGGUUAAUUGAUGGGGUUAGCGGUAACGCGAAGCUCUUGAUCGAAGCCCCGGUAAACGGCGGCCGUAACUAUAACGGUCCUAAGGUAGCGAAAUUCCUUGUCGGGUAAGUUCCGACCUGCACGAAUGGCGUAAUGAUGGCCAGGCUGUCUCCACCCGAGACUCAGUGAAAUUGAACUCGCUGUGAAGAUGCAGUGUACCCGCGGCAAGACGGAAAGACCCCGUGAACCUUUACUAUAGCUUGACACUGAACAUUGAGCCUUGAUGUGUAGGAUAGGUGGGAGGCUUUGAAGUGUGGACGCCAGUCUGCAUGGAGCCGACCUUGAAAUACCACCCUUUAAUGUUUGAUGUUCUAACGUUGACCCGUGAUCCGGGUUACGGACAGUGUCUGGUGGGUAGUUUGACUGGGGCGGUCUCCUCCUAAAGAGUAACGGAGGAGCACGAAGGUUGGCUAAUCCUGGUCGGACAUCAGGAGGUUAGUGCAAUGGCAUAAGCCAGCUUGACUGCGAGCGUGACGGCGCGAGCAGGUGCGAAAGCAGGUCAUAGUGAUCCGGUGGUUCUGAAUGGAAGGGCCAUCGCUCAACGGAUAAAAGGUACUCCGGGGAUAACAGGCUGAUACCGCCCAAGAGUUCAUAUCGACGGCGGUGUUUGGCACCUCGAUGUCGGCUCAUCACAUCCUGGGGCUGAAGUAGGUCCCAAGGGUAUGGCUGUUCGCCAUUUAAAGUGGUACGCGAGCUGGGUUUAGAACGUCGUGAGACAGUUCGGUCCCUAUCUGCCGUGGGCGCUGGAGAACUGAGGGGGGCUGCUCCUAGUACGAGAGGACCGGAGUGGACGCAUCACUGGUGUUCGGGUUGUCAUGCCAAUGGCACUGCCCGGUAGCUAAAUGCGGAAGAGAUAAGUGCUGAAAGCAUCUAAGCACGAAACUUGCCCCGAGAUGAGUUCUCCCUGACUCCUUGAGAGUCCUGAAGGAACGUUGA